rnacentral:rRNA from 1 species
UGCAGUCGAACGAUGAUGCCCAGCUUGCUGGGCGGAUUAGUGGCGAACGGGUGAGUAAUACGUGAGUAACCUGCCCUUGACUCUGGGAUAAGCCUGGGAAACUGGGUCUAAUACUGGAUACUACCUCUUGCCGCAUGGUGGGUGGUGGAAAGGGUUUUACUGGUUUUGGAUGGGCUCACGGCCUAUCAGCUUGUUGGUGGGGUAAUGGCUCACCAAGGCGACGACGGGUAGCCGGCCUGAGAGGGUGACCGGCCACACUGGGACUGAGACACGGCCCAGACUCCUACGGGAGGCAGCAGUGGGGAAUAUUGCACAAUGGGCGGAAGCCUGAUGCAGCGACGCCGCGUGAGGGAUGACGGCCUUCGGGUUGUAAACCUCUUUCAGUAGGGAAGAAGCGAGAGUGACGGUACCUGCAGAAGAAGCGCCGGCUAACUACGUGCCAGCAGCCGCGGUAAUACGUAGGGCGCAAGCGUUGUCCGGAAUUAUUGGGCGUAAAGAGCUCGUAGGCGGUUUGUCGCGUCUGCUGUGAAAGCCCGGGGCUCAACCCCGGGUCUGCAGUGGGUACGGGCAGACUAGAGUGCAGUAGGGGAGACUGGAAUUCCUGGUGUAGCGGUGAAAUGCGCAGAUAUCAGGAGGAACACCGAUGGCGAAGGCAGGUCUCUGGGCUGUUACUGACGCUGAGGAGCGAAAGCAUGGGGAGCGAACAGGAUUAGAUACCCUGGUAGUCCAUGCCGUAAACGUUGGGCACUAGGUGUGGGGGACAUUCCACGUUUUCCGCGCCGUAGCUAACGCAUUAAGUGCCCCGCCUGGGGAGUACGGCCGCAAGGCUAAAACUCAAUGAAUUUUGACGGAG